AUGGCCAUGGCCAAGCUCGCCGCCGUCGUGGCGUCGCUCUACCUAUAUAUCGUGCUAACACGUCAGGCUGCCGCUGCUGGUGCGGGCGGUUCGACGAGCUGCCACGGCGGCAAAGCGGUAGGGAGGAGCGGCGGCGGCCGGGCGAGGCCGAUGGUGAAGGCCGUGUUCGUGUUCGGGAGCUCGCUGGUGGACAACGGCAACAACAACUUCCUCAACAGCACCGGCGUGCGCGCCGACUACCUGCCCUACGGCGUCGACUUCCCGCUCGGCCCCUCCGGCCGCUUCUCCAACGGCCGCAACACCAUCGACGCGCUCGGGGAGCUUCUCCGCCUCCCCCGCGGCGGCCGCAUCCCGCCGUUCGCCGACCCGGGCACCAGGGGCCGCGCCGCGCUGCACGGCGUCAACUUCGCGUCCGGCGGCUCUGGCAUCCUCGACCGUACCGGCCAGGACACCGGCAAGGUGUUGAGCCUGAACCAGCAAAUCAGCAACUUCGAGGCAGUGACUCUCCCCGACCUUCGGGCAACGGCAGCCAACAUUCGCGGGAUGAAGGGCCAUGAUUUCUUGCACGAUUGCUUCCUGCCCAAGAGCCUAUUCGUGAUCGGUACAGGCGGCAACGACUACCUGCUCAACUACUACCAGCCCAGAAAUACAGCCAGGCCCCAAUUGUCAGACUUCACACGCUCACUCAUCACCGAGCUCUCGGCCCAUCUUCAGAGGCUGUAUGCUCUGGGGGCGAGGAAGUUUGUGAUCUUCUCCAUCCAGCCCAUGGGGUGCACCCCGGUGGUGAGGGCGUCCCUCAACGUCACCGGCGCGGGCUGCGUCGAGCCGGUGAACGGCGCGGCGCUCCUCUUCAACGGCGAGCUCAGGUCGCUCGUCGACGCCGCGGGACCGCGCAUGCCCGGCGCGAGCUUCUCCGUCGUCGACUCCUACAAGAUCAUCAAGGACCUGCUAGACCACCCAAGGAAACAUGGCAUCAGGGAGACGUAUCGGGCUUGCUGCAGUGAGCUGGGUUCAUCCGGGGUGCUGUGUAGGAAGGGAGGGCCCAUCUGCAGGGACCGGACCAAGUACGUCUUCUUCGACGGGCUCCACCCGACAGACGUGGUGAACGCCAGGAUCGCGCGCAAGGGAUUCGGCUCCGAGUCGCCGCGGGAAGCGUACCCCAUCAACAUCAAGAAAUUGGCUAUGCUGUAG
rnacentral:rRNA from 1 species